rnacentral:rRNA from 1 species
GUGGGGAAUAUUGGGCAAUGGGGGAAACCCUGACCCAGCAACGCCGCGUGAAGGAAGAAGGUUUUCGGAUCGUAAACUUCUAUCCUUGGUGAAGAUAAUGACGGUAGCCAAGAAGGAAGCCCCGGCUAACUACGUGCCAGCAGCCGCGGUAAUACGUAGGGGGCAAGCGUUGUCCGGAAUGAUUGGGCGUAAAGGGCGCGUAGGCGGCCUGGUAAGUCUGGAGUGAAAGUCCUGCUUUUAAGGUGGGAAUUGCUUUGGAUACUGUCGGGCUUGAGUGCAGGAGAGGUAAGCGGAAUUCCCGGUGUAGCGGUGAAAUGCGUAGAGAUCGGGAGGAACACCAGUGGCGAAGGCGGCUUACUGGACUGUAACUGACGCUGAGGCGCGAAAGUGUGGGGAGCAAACAGGAUUAGAAACCGUGUAGUCC